GAUGAACGCUGGCGGCGUGCCUAAUACAUGCAAGUCGAGCGAACAGACGAGGAGCUUGCUCCUCUGACGUUAGCGGCGGACGGGUGAGUAACACGUGGAUAACCUACCUAUAAGACUGGGAUAACUUCGGGAAACCGGAGCUAAUACCGGAUAAUAUAUUGAACCGCAUGGUUCAAUAGUGAAAGACGGUUUUGCUGUCACUUAUAGAUGGAUCCGCGCCGCAUUAGCUAGUUGGUAAGGUAACGGCUUACCAAGGCAACGAUGCGUAGCCGACCUGAGAGGGUGAUCGGCCACACUGGAACUGAGACACGGUCCAGACUCCUACGGGAGGCAGCAGUAGGGAAUCUUCCGCAAUGGGCGAAAGCCUGACGGAGCAACGCCGCGUGAGUGAUGAAGGUCUUCGGAUCGUAAAACUCUGUUAUUAGGGAAGAACAAAUGUGUAAGUAACGAUGCACGUCUUGACGGUACCUAAGCAGAAAGCCACGGCUAACUACGG
rnacentral:rRNA from 1 species